GAUGAACGCUGGCGGCGUGCCUAAUACAUGCAAGUCGAGCGAACAGACGAGGAGCUUGCUCCUCUGACGUUAGCGGCGGACGGGUGAGUAAAACGUGGAUAACCUACCUAUAAGACUGGGAUAACUUCGGGAAAACGGAGCUAAUACCGGAUAAUAUAUUAAACCGCAUGGUUCAAUAGUGAAAGACGGUUUUGCUGUCACUUAUAGAUGGAUCCGCGCCGCAUUAGCUAGUUGGUGAGGUAACGGCUUACCAAGGCAACGAUGCGUAGCCGACCUGAGAGGCUGAUCGGCCACACUGGAACUGAGACACGGUCCAGACUCCUACGGGAGGCAGCAGUAGGGAAUCUUCCGCAAUGGGCGAAAGCUUGACGGAGCAACGCCGCGUGAGUGAUGAAGGCCUUCGGAUCGUAAAACUCUGUUAUUAGGGAAGAACAAAUAUGUAAGUAACUAUGCACGUCUUGACGGUACCUAAUCAGAAAGCCACGGCUAACUACGUG
rnacentral:rRNA from 1 species